AAGGUCAGAAAUAAACAGGUGCAAUCUCCCAGCCAGAGGCAAACCCGCUCGGGAUGAAGGGUUGUGGAGCUCUCUUCAUGUGUGAGAAUGUUUUGUGGACAAAACCAGCUCAGAUUAGAGUCGGGAGGCACAUGUAAGCACUGCAAACAGCGUUCAGGUAUGCAAGGAUGGCAAGAAGGAAGAGGAGGAAGAUGCUAAAAAACACCCAGUGAGAGACUCUCCCAGCUGAACCAAAGAUUUUGAGCUUUCAGACCACCAGCUGAGCCUGAAUUUGUGACCCAGGGAUGUGCAACACUGAUGCCCAACCCCGAGAAGCUGCUCCUGUGGUGCUGCAGUGGCUCAGCCCUUCCCUCGGUGCUCCACUCCACAGGAUGACCCAGUAUCAGCCACAGGAGAGAAAAAGAAAUAAGAAGUGUUAAAAACUGUCGAAAUAGAGAAAAGUUACUCAACUCCAAAAAAUCACACCGCAUAAAGCUAAAAAAAAUAAA